CCUACGGGAGGCAGCAGUUAGGAAUCUUGGGCAAUGGGGGAAACCCUGACCCAGCCAUGCCGCGUGGAUGAUGAAGGUCUUAGGAUUGUAAAAUCCUUUCACCGGGGAUGCAGUACCCGGAGAAGAAGCCCCGGCUAACUUCGUGCCAGCAGCCGCGGUAAUACGAAGGGGGCUAGCGUUGCUCGGAAUUACUGGGCGUAAAGGGAGCGUAGGCGGAUAGUUUAGUCAGAGGUGAAAGCCCAGGGCUUAACCUUGGAACUGCCUUUGAUACUGGCUAUCUUGAGUACGGGAGAGGUGAGUGGAACUCCGAGUGUAGAGGUGAAAUUCGUAGAUAUUCGGAAGAACACCAGUGGCGAAGGCGACUCACUGGCCCGUACUGACGCUGAGGCUCGAAAGCGUGGGGAGCAAACAGGAUUAGAUACCCUUGUAGUC
rnacentral:rRNA from 1 species